GGUAACAAGAAUGAAACUAAACAUAAUUUAGACAACACAUGAAAUAGAUUUUGUUUGUUGAAAAAAUAUUGUUCUGAAACUAUUCUGCCUAACAUUUUCAGAUACAAUCCCUAAAAUACAAGAAGUACUGUUUGAAUUGAGUAACAUUGUUUUCCUCAAAAAAGAGAAUUGGAAAAAAGAAAUAGUUAAUUUGCUACUUAGCAAGUGCUGGUGAAGAAUUGGUUAUAGAUUUGGCAAUUCAUCAAAAUCCCUUUCUGAUUAUACAAGAAUCGCUAUUCAGCACAUAUUCAUGAAAGCCGCAAAUCAUAAGUCACAAUCCAAACAAGUAGUUUUUUGAACCUUAGCCACUGACACACAAGAUACACUUUGCAUUCUUCUGGGAGUGGCCCGAGAACACCUUAGUGUCUCUGCUCACUUAAGUGACUGAAUAUUUUUUCCAUUUUCUGGUUAGUGAACUACACAGUUUUUUCAACCCUAUAGUCAGCAGAUAAGGCACUUUUCC
rnacentral:lncRNA from 1 species